GCCCCUUAUGUUAAUAUUAGAUGUGUACUCCAUUUCUAAACAAAAUUCAUUAUAUUAAGUAAGAUCUUGCAAGUAAAACAUAUUUUCUCCAUUGUUUCCCCUUGUUGGCAAAGAUAUUUGUUUGUUUACUUUACAAUAUAUAUAUGGUUCACUUUCUUUGGUAAUUUUUAGACUUCAAUUCAGCCCAUUUCAUCUGAACAAAAUUUUCCAUUCUGUCGGAUUUGUUUUGUUUUUUUUUGCUUCAGAAACUUAAACAUUGUCAACAUUAAUAUAUGGUCCAUUAUUUUUUUGGGCUUGUAAUUAGUAGAAGAAAUGUAUUCAAUGUCAUAUUAUGAUAUCAACCUUUGAAUAAUAAGAAUUACACGUUAUGGUGUAUAAUAAUACAAACCUUUGAAUAAUGAAAAAAAAAUUCCACAAUAUUACAAAAUCUAUCAAUCAUUUUUUGGUAUAACAGAU
rnacentral:lncRNA from 1 species